AUUGAACGCUGGCGGCAUGCCUUACACAUGCAAGUCGAACGGCAGCACGGGGCAACCUGGUGGCGAGUGGCGAACGGGUGAGUAAUGCAUCGGAACGUGCCAUUGAGUGGGGGAUAACGUAGCGAAAGUUGCGCUAAUACCGCAUAUUCUGUGAGCAGGAAAGCAGGGGACCGCAAGGCCUUGCGCUCUUUGAGCGGCCGAUGUCAGAUUAGCUAGUUGGUGGGUAACGGCUUACCAAGGCGACGAUCUGUAGCGGGUCUGAGAGGAUGAUCCGCCACACUGGAACUGAGACACGGUCCAGACUCCUACGGGAGGCAGCAGUGGGGAAUUUUGGACAAUGGGCGCAAGCCUGAUCCAGCCAUGCCGCGUGAGUGAAGAAGGCCUCGGUUGUAAAGGUACUACUUUCGGUCCCGGGAACGGAAAGUACGCCAUGGUUAAGUACCCUAGUGUGGAUGACGGUACCGGAAUAAGAAG
rnacentral:rRNA from 1 species